UUGGAGGGCAAGUCUGGUGCCAGCAGCCGCGGUAAUUCCAGCUCCAAUAGCGUAUAUUAAAGUUGUUGCAGUUAAAAAGCUCGUAGUUGAAUUUCGGGGUUCUACCGUUGGUCGGGCUUUGUCUGUACUGGUGUGUAGAAUUUCUACCUUCUGGGGAACCAUCAUGCUAUUAAUUUAGCGUGGUGGGAAACCAGGACCUUUACCCUGAAAAAAUUAGUGUGUUCAAAGCAGGCUUAUGUCUGAAUACAUUAGCGUGGAAUAAUAGAAUAGGACGGUGGUCCUGUUUUGUUGGUUUCUGAAUCACCGUAAUGAUUAAUAGGGAUAGUUGGGGGCAUUAGUAUUCAAUUGUCAGAGGUGAAAUUCUUGGAUUUAUUGAAGACUAACUUCUGCGAAAGCAUUUGCCAAGGAUGUUUUCAUUAAUCAAGAACGAAAGUUAGGGGAUCGAAGACGAUCAGAUACCGUCGUAGUCUUAACCAUAAACUAUGCCGACUAGGGAUCGGACGAUGUUAAUUUUUCUUGACUCGUUCGGCGCCUUACGGGAAAC
rnacentral:rRNA from 1 species